UCUGCACCCGCCAGCCAGAAUCUAAAGUUUAUACAGAGGCCUUAACGAGGUUUGGGCAUGAUACCACCAGAUCUCAAUAAGGUAUUAGUGUCUCAAGGCUGGGUCCCUGAAAACAACUUCAGGUGUGGGGAUGGUGGGCAGAAGGUACCUCCCAAAGGCUGGGAAUGGGGAGGAGCUUCUGACUACCCAACCCCAGCUCAAGGGCAACUGGAGGUCACAUCCUCUCAAUGACCUCCCACAGCACCAUCCCUGCUUUGAAGAGCUAAUCUUCUAGAAGAAAAAGAGUAGUAAAGAAGGAGCAGCGCCCCAAUGUGAGGACUAGCACCAUAGAAGACCAGUCACAGUGCUGUGGAAAUAAUGAAAUGUUGUCUAGGGGAGAGAGGUGGAAAGAGGUGUCUUCAGGUGAAAGUGACAUCAGAGGCCUCGGCAGAUGAAGCGGUUUCUCCAGUGUGAAGAAAGCCACGUUGACAAGCCUGGAAGAGAAGCUAACAGCGAGGGGGAGGGCUUUCUUCCCUCGCGAUCCAUCAGGAAGUGGCGUUGACUCUAAACACAAGAGACUUUUUGGAUGAAAAAAUCUUUUGUUGAAGCCUUUUGUUCCUUUAAUAAACAAUUUUGAAUGGCAGCCUAA